rnacentral:lncRNA from 1 species
GGUUGAUUGAUCUUCUUCGAGAUUAUUCUGAUGUGUUUGCUUGGUCCUUUCAAGAUAUGCCUAUAGCGGUAAAUUCAUGAUCAUCAAGCUAUGGAUAAGCUAGACGUCAACAAAACCAGAGUCGCCACCGCGCUUUUAUUGUUUCCAAGGGAAAAGAGAAAAGUACGAACAAAACCCAAAAAGAUAAGAAGUUUUCAAAUCAAAACUAAUAAAAUAUGAGAGAUUUCAGGUAAGGGGGUUGGUUACACAGAGGGAAGGUGUUAGCACCCAAAGUGUCAUAGGUACUCCUAGGGAGCCUUUUUUUGUGUGCAUAUGUGUUUUUGUACAAAUGAUGUUUG